ensembl:lncRNA
CUCCCCUCGGCGGGACUGAAUGAUCAAAACUGGUGGUGAGAAUUUUUCCGGACCGUUUCUAGGCAUCCGCUCUCAAGACGCGUUCCAGCCGACAAAAUUCUCCCCCUUCAUUAUAAAGCCAAAGGACAGGCCAACCUUGAGCCCGGCUGUGUCCCCUGCCGCGCCUUUGUCGGCGCUGAGGCCUGCGAAUGUUGGCUGGUCCUCCGAUUCCUGGAGCACAAGUCGGCCUCAGUUCUCCCCACGGCACGGUCGAACCUGGUUCUUCCAGAACCUUGGUGUUGCUGGCCGCGUGGAUACAUCUUCCCCGUUUUCUCAGCAAGGGUAAGGGGACAGCUAGCAUUCUUUCCAAGGCAUGGAAGUCCAAGUCACCCCAUCGGUUGCCCCGAACCGCCUUUCUCCGAUCGGAGCCCCCGAACUACACCAGCGUCUAAGGUAGUGAAGGGGAUGCCGAGGAUGGCGAGCUCCAAAGGCCGUGGGCAGUUCUAGGCAAGAGUUUCCGCAGGGUCGAACAACCAGGGAGCUCCCUGCCCGGGCGCCGCUAAAACCCGGAGAGGCCGCGCCCGGCACAGCCAUCCUCGCUGCAACUGGACCAGGUGCGGCUCAGCCAGCCCAGUCGAGAGCCAUGAGGACUCACCAGGAAGGCCAGAGACGCGGUGCCAGCGCCCCGCUCGCCACCAGAACCCUGGUGCACGGCUAGGAGAGCCCGGGCCGUUGCGCCAGGCCGGGCCUCGGAGGAUUCCUCCGACUCCUCUCGGCCCCGCCUACGACCCUGGCCUCUUCCUCCGGCCCGGGUCGGGUCUUCCACUCCACUGUUUGGCUCGAAGAGGACGGAGAAGCGCUCAGUGCGCUGGGGGCCGGCCACGGCCAUAAAUCUCCCUCACCAGCCCUCCUUCCGCUGCUCACUGGCGGGUGUUCCAGCCUGGCCACUCGUCCCCGGCCGCCAGGUACCCUGCUCUCCCGGUCACUACGCUGGAAAUCACUGUCAGGAGCUUCCCCGUUCGCCAAAAAGAGGGAGUCGCCUCGCCCAUUCGGUGCCACCACCAGCCAUCCCCUCGAGUGCCGGACCCCGAGGCGGCCUGGGCCUCACGGAUCACCGCCCUGGGUAGGGGCGUGCGGGGGCCAGGUGAAGGCCUGCUGAGGUUUGAAUGGGUGCGCAGCUAUCCGAGCCACCGAGGGGCGACGCCUAGGUCAGGAACAGUGGCUUCUCAGCUGGUCACCUCAACGGACCCUGCCUUAGUCCCGCGCCCUUGGAUCCCUCUUCGCUCGCCACGGGUUCCCCAGCUUGGCGACCCUUGUUUGACGCCCUACCCUCUUGGCACAAAUAACCAAACCAUUGGGAAAACAGGAAUCUGUCGCUUGCAGGUCGAAGGCUAGGCGGGGCGCUGGUUUUUCCACCCUAACAGUCGGGAGGAAGUUGUUGGGAAGAUCUGCAGUAGUAACGACUAAUGUUAUGGGCAUUGUCUGUCUUCUUUGACAGAGGGGCCCGCAGACCUCUCUGCUGGUCCCUGCUUCAGCCAAGCAAGUGGAGGUACUCAGUGGGGACUAACCACCACGAAAGGGGCCGUGGGACGCUGGGUGGGGACAGUUGCGGAGGGGUUGACAAUGCACCUUCUUGGGUGCCUCCCCAAAACCUCACAUGGUGCCAGUGACACAAUUCCGAGCGGGUGACAGAGGAGGCCGGGUGCAGGGGCUUUUGAAACUGGGCCCCGAGGUCGCUCUCACUCAAGGAGCUCCAGCUCCCUCAAAUUUCCAAAAGCACAGUUGGAGGGACCGAGGGCUUCCGGCAGCCAGGCGCGCAGGAAUUUGCGCGCUGGCCCCAGCGACGCCCGGGAGCGCAGAGGCUGCCCAGCCACAUUCCGGCGAACCGCCCCAGCGAGGCCCCAGCCCAGGAAGCGGCUCGGAAAACAAAGCGCUGUGGUCUCAGCCCAAGGUUAAAGUCCACCGCCAGCGCUUUUUCCCCCGGAAUCUGAGAGCGAUAGCGUUUCUCCAAAUAAACCGCCAAUAAAUCAGCUCCCGGGCCGAGCCAACUGAAGAGCUCUGGUGACCUUGGGGAAUACUUCCUGCCUGCCAGACCCAGCAGAGGACAGGCGUGGGGGAGGGGGCCAAUGUCAGCCCGUUCCCCCCACCCCCCAAGAAGAGAGGUGUGCCAAGGACAUUUGUGGGUGUUUAUUAGGGUGUGCGUGCCCAGAGGGGAUGGGCGAGGUUUGGAGCAAGGUUUGGGAAGCCCUGGUUAUUUGGGGACCUCAGUGCGCGGUUGUAAGGAGGUUUGUGAUGCUGGGGGCUGCUUCGGAAAGGCUGACCGAUGAGGGCCUCCAGAGCCACACGGUGCUAGUCCCUGGGGACCCAGCCCCGGACACUCUGGGCCCCUUCGGGGGCCCUGGUCUUUGUCUGGGUGUGACAGGGUGUGUUCGGCUUCGAGCUUGUGUAGAGUGUGACUAAUGGGAUUUAUGGAUGUCAGUGCCAGGGUGACUAAUGGAGGCUUGGCAGCACGUGCUUUUGGCGAGGGCCACUGCACCUAGGUGGGGACCCAGUGCCCCAGGAGGGGGCUGCUGGGUCUCAGAAGCCCCCUCCCCUCCCCCACUAGCUCCCAGCUUGGUCUGCGGCCCCUCCACACACCCCCUGGCAGGCCAGUGCAUGCUGCAGCGCUCCCCGACACAUCCCUCUGCGGCCUGGCCCCCAGAGGCCCUCCAGGCCUCCCAUCUCUCUGACCCGUGUGGUUGGUGCCUCCAGAUCCUGGCCUUCCCACCACCUUGGCAGAGCCCUCCAAUCCGCCUCUCUUUCAUCCUGAAAACUCCCUACACGCACAUUGUACAAGCCCCUUCGGGCUCAGCCCUGGGAUGUGGGUACCAUUCUAUCCAUUCAGUGGCUGCUACACCUUCAGGGUGGGCAGGAAAAGUGACAGACUCAUAGCUAGCAGGGCUGACCUCACCAGGCAGGGUGCUGGGGAGAACAUGCCUUCUUUUUUUGUUGAUUUGGG